AACGAACGCUGGCGGCGUGCCUAACACAUGCAAGUCGAACGGGGAUAGGGAGCUUGCUUCCUAUUCUAGUGGCGCACGGGUGAGUAACACGUAGAUAAUCUGCCUGACGAUCCGGGAUAACAUCUCGAAAGGGGUGCUAAUACCGGAUAAGCCCACAGGGUCUUUGGAUCUUGCGGGAAAAGGGGGGGACCUUUUGGCCUUCUGUCGUCAGAUGAGUCUGCGUACCAUUAGCUAGUUGGUAGGGUAAAGGCCUACCAAGGCUACGAUGGUUAGCUGGUUUGAGAGAAUGAUCAGCCACACUGGAACUGAGACACGGUCCAGACUCCUACGGGAGGCAGCAGUGGGGAAUUUUGCGCAAUGGGCGAAAGCCUGACGCAGCAACGCCGCGUGAGUGAUGAAGGCUUUCGGGUCGUAAAGCUCUGUCGAGGGGAAAGAAGUGUAUUGUGGCUAAUAUCCGCGAUACUUGACGGUACCCCUAAAGGAAGCACCGGCUAACUCCGUGCCAGCCGCCGCAGUAA
rnacentral:rRNA from 1 species